AUGACGGGAACAAAUCUGAUAAUGACAUCAUUGACUUGGAUCAUAUGGUCUUCGACGCUGAGAAUGUGGUGUCCACUGAUGUGCAGUCGUCAUCAUGGUUGGCGCAUAAGCAACUGUCACCAGGUAAAGUCUGGAUAUCUGAAGAGUCUGUUGAUGCUGGUCAGUGGGGCCGAACCGACCCUCUCCGUCCCCUGCUUGCAUCCUCCCAUCCUGCCGACAGCGCAUGUUCUCAUCUCCGCCGCUGGCAUUAUGUGCCCACCUGCGACUGUCCCGCCGAAAAAGGGUCUCUCAUCCGGCAUUACGUGCCCGCCAGAGAGUAGACCAUCUGACAGCACAAUGAUAAUCUACAGAGACACAAAUGAACAGCAAACCGAUACCUUUGAUGACACCGAUGAACAACAUGAUUACAACAGUUGGUGGUUGCCUAGCAACGGUAAAGCGUCAGCUCUUUCCCUUCUAUGUUUGUCCGCUGUGUGUAUGGGGCAGGAGCUGUGCUUGGUGUCUCCGUCAGUAACCAUCAGCUGUUUCUCUGUUGUCAGAAUAAAUUCCGUGAACCUGACUAUAGCCUGUGUGUUGUCUCUACUGAUCCGAACCGAACAAGAGGGUUACAGUUACAUGGGCCCAAUUAAUGUUGACCAGAAAAAGGCCAUCACAGAUGCUGUUACUUUGCAUGGACUGUUGAGGCUCAUCCCAAUCCUGAACCAGCUACGUGAGGAGUUGAGGCUGUAUGGAGUAGAUGAGGUUUUGGGCCACCAUGACCAGAUGUGCAAGCAACUAUUUGUUCCUGGCUUCAUACAGGAGAGGCGCUAGGAGAGGCUGGGUGGGGUUAUCGACGACCGGAGCCGCCGUCACAGACGCACCUGCAGCAGGUUGGCAAUCAGCGGCUGCUGACUAAAGCCUAGGUCUUCACGCUGCCUGCUGCCAGAUGAUUACUUCGACUAGAUGUGGUACACGGCUCACACAGACUGUAGCUACUACGGCUUCUACUGUGUUCCCCGGUCUCUUGCUGAGAUUAAUUACUGUUGUGUCCUUUCCCUAGUGACCCACGACCCGGCUACCUGCACCACCUGCUCCAGCCUCCCAGCUCCUCGCACCUGACCCGGCUCUCCCUCGCCCUGCGCCGUCUGGCGCACCCGGCGCAACCCCGGCAUCCCUGGGAAAAACCCCUGCACAGACCAUCCGCACUCCACCAGACAGGGACUCCGUCGGGAGCGCUCAGCGUUCGUUUAUUCAGUGUUCAAUAAAUCACCAAGUUUCUACCUCUGAUCUGCCUCCGUGUCCGCUCUUGGGUCCCUGUCCACCCGGCUCAACACUGAUUCUUCAAUCACCAAAAUUCUGCGGUGGUUAUUUCUGGACAGAUGACCGAUGCAAAUAUUAAUCACUGCUGCUCCAUUGCUAGGGAAGCUAUAGCAUAGCAACCACAGCCAAAGACUGGGGAACAAUCAGUUCACAUUAACAUCAUUAAAGUCUGUGUAAAGCAGCAAUACAUUUGUGUUAUGAGUUUGUCACACCACAGAAACGUGUCAUUGACCACUGAGCCAAAUGUGAAAGAUUUAAAAAAUUGCUAAGUAUAUAAAAUUAGGUCUCAAAAUCAUGAAAAACAAGCACUUCUUUCUGCUGUGAGACAGUGGGGGCAUGUCAGAGGCGCUGGAACCACACCCACGCGCGGGAGGGGAGCCUCCUCCAUGUACU
rnacentral:lncRNA from 1 species